rnacentral:lncRNA from 1 species
CUCAGGUACACAUCUUCUACUGAUAUUAUCUGCAUAAAAUCUAAAUAUGUAAGAUUUAUCCCACAGAUAAUAUUUAGCAUCAGAGAUGAAUUUUUUCUUUUGUUAAUAAGAGAGAUCCUUUGGUAUCCACUUUUCAACUAGGGGUGGUUGAGUCACAAGUAAAUUAACAAAUAGAAUGCUUCUAUCAGGACUCUUCUUUUAUUUCACAAGACUCAAGAGGAGGAUUUUCUAGCCUUGAUAAAUGAUCAGCUACCUUAUUUUUCGUUUCCUUUUUAUCUUUUAUUUCAAGGUCAAAUUCUUGAAGAAGUAACAUCCAUUUUAAUAGUAUAGAACAAACAUCUUUCUGUGAUAAGAGAUAUUUUAAAGCUGUAUGAUCAGUAAAAACAGUGAACUUAAUUCCUAUCAUAUAAAAACAAAAUUUAUCAAAUGCAAAUACUACUGGCAGUAAUUAUUUUCUGUUGUGGCAUAGUUCAGUUAAGCAUCAUUCAAUGUUCUACUGGCAUAGUAAAUGGGAUGAAAAAUUUUGUCCUUCCUCUUGCCUGUCACAAUUUUUAUAGUAGUAUCACUAGCAUCAUACAUGACCUUAAAAUAUUAGUUCCAAUCAAGAGAUACAACUACAUAGAAAGUUGAUAGUUUCUUUAUAAACGUUUCAAAUGCCUUCAAUCACUCACUUGAAAAAUUAAGCUGAAUAUCUUUCAUUAAAAAGUUAGUCAAACGUUUUGAAAUUUUUGAAAAGUCUUUUAUGAAUCUUUUGUAAAAGCCUACAUGACCAAGAAAACUUCUAAUGUCUUUAAUAGUUGUAGGAGGAAGUAAUCCUGCUAUGAGAUUAAUUUUUACCUUGUCAACUUCUAUUUCCUUAGCAGAGAUUUUAUGCCCUUAGACAAUUUUCUCAAUUACCAUAAAAUGAUAUUUUUUUCAAUUAAGAAUUAAUGUAUCUUCACAUCUUUUAAGAACUAGGGUCAAAUAGUAAAGACAAUUUUCAAAUGUCAUGCCAAAAAGUGUGAAGUCAUUCAUAAAAAUCUCAAAAAACUUUUCGAUCAUGUCAGAAAAAAUUGCUGACUUGCAUCAUUAAAAUGUGACAGGGGCGUUGCAUAUACCAAAUGAUAUUCUUCUCUAUGCAUAUGUGCCAUGAGGGCAUGUAAAAGUUAUCUUUUCUUGAUCUUCAGGUGCAAUAGGUAUCUGAUUAUAGCCCGAAUAACCAUCAAGAAAAUAGUAAAGGUAAUAUCCUGUAUUUUUUUUCAACAUUUGAUCAAUAAAGAUAAAGGAAAAUGAUCCUUUCUGGUGGCAUCAUUGAGAUGUUUGUAGUCAAUACAGAUUCUCCAUUCUAUAAUCAUUCAAGUAGGUAUGAGUUUAUUAUUCUUAUUUCUUAUUAGUGUCAUAUCUCUUUUUUUUUACACUACUUGAAUAGGACUUAACCAAAGACUGUCAGAAAUAGAAUAGAUGAUACCUGAUGCUAGAAGUUUUAUGAUUUCAUUUUUCAUCACUUCUUGCAUUGUUAAAUUCAAUCUCCUUUGAGAUUGAAUUAUUGAUUUGUAAUUAUCCUCCAUAAGCAUUCUGUGUGUGCAAAUAGUCGAAUUAAUUUCUUGAUAUAUGCUAUAGUCCAUUCCAAAGCUCCUUUGUGUGUGCAUAAUACUGCAAGCAAACUAUCUUCUUAUUCUGUAGUUAGAGAAGAUGAAUAAUUUCUGGAAAUGACUCUUGCUCAAGAUAAACCUACUUUAAAUAAUAUGGCAGAAAUUUGAGUUUAAUUUUUUAUUAAAGUUUUUUUGAAUUCAUCUCAUCCUCAAAAUCUCUUUCUAAAAAUUUAACUUCUUUUUUCAUGGUUGGAUCUUCAUUCUGUAUGGUGCCUGACGUGAUCUGAUAUUUUUUAUUGAGUCUAAAACUAAUUGAUUAUCCUUGAAUUCACCUAUCAGAUUGCUAAUUAUUUCAAUUGAAAAACAUGAAGAUGAUGUCUCAUCUCCUGAAAAUCUUAGCAUCUUUUCCAUAUAAAAAAUGACUCUUUCUUCAUCCACUCUUAAAAUUAAUUGUCCUUGAUGGACAUCUAUGAUGGAUCUAUUAGCAGUAAGAAAUGGUCUUUCCAAAAUUACUGGUUCAUCAGGACAUUCCUUCAUCUCAAAUACAAUAACAUCUAUAGGAAAAAUAAAUUUAUCUACUCUUACAAGAAUAUUUUUAAUUAUUUUCUUUGAUUUCAUUGUACUUUGAUCUGCAAAUUGAGGAGACACUUGUGUCUUCAAUUUCACCAAGAUUCAAUUUUUUUUUUCAAAAAUAAAAAAAAAUAUUAAAUUUAUUGAUGCUCUAGAAUCACAAAAUGCCUUUUCAAAAUAUAUGCCUCCUAAAGUGCAUGGAAUAGUAAAACUUCCUAAAUCACCAAACUUUUGUGGUAGCUUAUUUUGAAGUAUAGCACUACAUUUCUUUGUAAGCAUUAUCACAGAAGCUUCUUUCAAUCUUAUUUUGCUUGACAAAAUUUCUUUCAAAAAUUUUGUAUAUGAAGGCAUUUGCAAUAAAGCAUCAGUGAAAGAAAUGUUAAUGUGAAUUUAUUUUAAAAUAUCUAAAAGUUAUACAAAUAGACUAUCAAGCUUUUCUCUUUCCAUUUUCCGUGGGAAAGGAAUUGUCAUGGGGAGGGGAGUGAUUUUUUCAAUAUUUUUUCUUUCAUUUUUCUUAUUUUUUUUUUUUGGUUUUGAUGGUUCAUUGUGUGUUUCAACAUUCUUACCCAUGUCAUUCUAUUGUUGUGAUUGUUGUUUUUCUUGUUGAUCUGCAUAAGAUUCAUCAAGUUCCUUAUCUGAUCGUAAGGUAAUGACCUUAAGAUGCUCUUUCGAAUUUUUUUCUGUAUUGUUUGGUAAUGGACCUGGAAUUUUUUCUGACACAAGAGAUGCCAGUUGGCUUAUUUUUGUUUUAAAAUUUUUAAGGGCCGAAUUAUGAUUUUCAAUCUUUUCAUCAGUAAAUGUGUUUGUACAAAAGGUCAUUAAGGUUUGAAUAAGCAUAUUGAGGCCUUUUCUGACAUGAAGUUGUUUGUUGAUUGGGUCGGAAGUUUGAUUGUCCAUGAUUUUGAUUUGAGAAGCCAGGUGGAUUUUAUACAUACUGCUAUUGGGAAACUUAAGAAUUUUCAGCACUAUUUGGAUAUCUCAACUAAAAUUCUAGAUGUUUUUGUGCCAUUGGACUUCCAAAAAGAUACAGUCUGUAUCUGAUGGUACUAACCUACUGUAACGCCCCGAGUCUGGUACCCCGGAUGCUACACGGUGCUCAUAAUCCCAAAGGACCAUAAGCUAACCCAUGAUUGGUACCUAUUGUAAUAACUGAGUAAUAACAUUGUAUAAUGCGGAAUAAUAGGAUGAAAUGCCAUAAGGUUCACAACUGUAAUACUGAUAAAAAGAAAAUAAUAAAGUCUGAUAAAAUAUCAGAAUCUGAAAUACCGAAUACUGUCUGAACAUCUAGUCUGAAAAGCCUCUAAAACUGUCUAAACUAUGGAGUUGAUGGGAUAUGUCCCCAACUAACUCCUACUACUGAAAUAGACUAAAAAACUGAAUGAAUAAACAUGUCCUCGAACUAUGAGGACUCACCACUACUUUGUCUGCUGAACGUCUGAACUGCUAAGGGUGCCCGGGAGCUUGAGCGUCUGAACCUAUGGUAUAAAACAAGAUAACACAAAAGAAAAGUAUGCGUCAGUACGUGUGAAUGUACUGGUACGCAAAGUGGGGUAAGGCUGAAUACAAGGGUUCAUGUGCAUAAGCAAGAAUAACUGAAUAACAUGAGAAUGACUGAAUAAAAGUACAUGCAUGAAUACAUGCACUCUAACUGAAAUCGUGAUAAUACUAAAUACUAAGUUUGAAUACCGAUUAAAUGAUGUAACUGAUAACUGAUAUACUAUUUACCGAGUGACUGUGCCUGACAGUCCUAAUUCUGAUGGAAUUAGCUGAGUACCGUACUGCUGAGUGACUGUAUCUGAAAAUCCUGAAAUCUGUAGAACUAUCUGAGUUCUUUACUGAAGGCUGAGACUGAUACUGUGGGAGGUAAUCAUCUAACCGACAUGCUCUUUUUUCUGAAUAGAUUUGGGGUCCAACCUGUUACCCCAGUUAGAAGGGUGUCAGUACCGUGCCACGGGUAAAGACAAGCUGUGAGUUAACCCUUUCUGAUAGGGAGCACAUCCGUCAACCCCUCACUAGUAGGAGAACUCAAAUGAAAUGUAUUAACCCUAGAAUCGUAGGGAUAUAUCUCAACCUAUGCUGGCUAAGUAGUUAUAGAACGGAAGGAUUGCUUCUAAAGAUCACACCCUCUGUUGGCAAGUGAACCCCCAUCCUUGGGUUCACUCUAUGCUGAAUCCUAAUCCUAACUGAAUAGACACUGGACUAAUUUUCUAGUUCAUACUAGGCCUGACUGAACUGCUACUGAUUGUAUUGAUUAACUGAACUGAACUGAGUUUACUGAGUUUUUCUUAGUUUUGUAACUGAACUAGAGUACUACUGAUCCUGACAUGACUGAGAGUGUUCUGUAACUGACACUGACUUUAGGCACACAACUAAAUUUUCGAGUAUUAAAUACCCCAGGACUCGAUAGAAUAAUAAAAUAUGAUAAUUCUUGAACACUUGACAAUAGUCAACAACUCAAAAUACAUUCUAUGAGGCAUUUCAUCAAUCACUUGAAAGUCAUGAGCUUGCACAUGAAUAGGAAGGCAUGCUAACAUAUCAUAAUUUCAUUAAACCAAUCUCAUGAACAUUCCAUCAAACACAUACAAGGUGUAGAUUUAGCAUGGAAGCCAUUGUGAACACCUGGGUAUAGCAUAAGUUCAUCAUUUAGACCACCAAAGGAUCAUAAAAGCACCAUAAUGUCAAUUUAGCAUUUUAUCAAACACAUGGUAGGCAUAGCUUUAUAUUUGGGCAUGAACAACAAUGCUAUUAUAUCAUGACUUCAUAAUUAAAGGGUUUCAAUAUAAGAGAAUCAAAAUUCAACUUACACGCUAUCAUAAUAUCAAGAAAUACAUAAAGAUUUUAACUUGGAACACAUACCAUAACAUCAACAUGAUUACAUUCAAACCCACAACAUGGAAAUCACAAUUCAUGUUUUUAAAAGAAGUUUCUUGAACUCCAAGGGUGGAACGGACCCUUGGAUGAACACUUUACAUACCUUGGAACUUGAGGAUCAACCUAUGAGUACCCACUAUUUCAAACUGGAUUUGUUACGUGAGAAGGAAAAAACUAGAAGGUCAAGGCUAUGGAAACUCAGGGGAUUAUAGUGCAUCUCCCCGUUGGACACUAUGUCCCAUUGAGAAUGCUGACUUUGCUGAGAUAUUAAGGAAAACUAGGGCGAUGCACAAGGCACCUACGAACUGAAUCGUGACUAAAUAUCUGGGAUCUAAAACUGAGACAUGAUACAUGAACUGAGUUGAACAUGCAAUUACCUGGUUGGUCCAUCUUAGAAUGGUUACAUUCAUGAGAAUUUGGAUAGCAUGAAUAAAUGUAAAGACGGGAAACCAUACGAACUUGUCCGUCUGACUGCUAAACUGAAUCACUGGUUCUGCGGACUAACUUAUGCUGAAAACUUAUACUCGACUGGAGCCUUUUUCUGACACUCUUUCUAUUGAGUUCUAGUCGCUUUAGGGUGGUUAAGGAACACUUGGCAUGGUCUGAAUAAGUUCUGUAAUGUGAGUCAUGGCAUAUGAAACAUAGUCUAAGAUAAAGUAGCUAAGCCUUAUGCACUGCAACUUAAAUUCUCAAGCUUAGAGAUAUCCCUUUAAAAUCCAUUCAACUAUACUCUCCACCUUAGUACAACCCUUCACCUGAGACUACUGAAAGUAUUUGCAUGGGUGCUGAGCAUGAAUGCAUAAGCAUACUAACUUAUCGGAUUAACUGAAUAAUGGAUAUCUGAAUACUGGGUCUGCAAGACUGAACUGUACUUAGCCUGAAUAACUGAACUGAAACCAUAUAGUGUUAUGUAUACAAGGUAAGGACUGAUUGGAUAACAUGAAACAACUGAGCACGAAUUUGUGUAUACGCUAUCUUUAUUUGCUUUGAUGCACACUCAUGAGCAAACAAGGGAACCCCAAUCACACAAGCAAUGGGCAAAGUUACCCAUACCAGUACAUUAGUUAAAAAUUCAACCUUGAAAUCAAGAUGAGGAGUCCACUUUUCAAUUCACCAAUUUAUUGUUGAUAAUGUAUGGUCUAGUAAACAAAAUUUCUUCCAUAUCCGCUUCUGAUUGAAAUUUAAUUUAACUAGGUUGUAACCUUCAUCAUGGUAGUAAAGAUCUGGAGUAGCUACAGAGGUCCAUGUUUCAGCAACAACUUUCUUCAUAUAAUUGUGACCCGGCACAUCUCCAAUCACUUACAAUAUCAGAGAAUGCUUCCGUUUAAGCUCGUCUUCUUUUGUUCCUAUUUAUCUAUCUUCACCACUGAAGCCCCUAGUGUGAUGUAAUUCAAAGCAAUCCAAUUACUAGCCACUCAAUUACCAGCAAAAAGACUAAAUCAAGGGUUCGUUCUAGUCUCUGCAUCACCUUUGUUUCCUAGAUCUUCAGAUUUGUCGUGUAAAACUUGACCACCUUCUGUGUCCACUAAUGGAAAAGUAGUGGUGGAUACGUGAUUCAUUGGCAUUGUUACCUCAGGCGGAGAAAUUGGAGGUCUCGGCAUAACUUGGUUCACUCCUGAGCUCCGAUUAAUACUCUUAGACACAGAAUUGGACGUACUACAUGCUCCGAAAUCAUCUUCCAAUGUGUUUUGAACUCCCCGAUCUCCCGAGUUGCGUAAUUAACUCCUUCCUAGGUCUUUUCGUCGUCGCUGCCCUACCUGACGCACGAUAGCAGAACCUACGCCGAGAGCAUUUUAGAUAGGUGAGAGAAAAUCAAUUUCAUUUAUUUUUAACUAUUUUUUGUUAGAAGUGCUUUUAAAAAAAAAAAGUUAUUUCAGAGACAAAAAAUUUGUAUUUGACUAAUUAAUUUCAAAAAAUAUUUUGGGCAAUGUUAGGGAAGAAUUUAUAUUUGUUCAAGGUUCCAAAAGUGCUUUCAAAGAAAAUUAAUUACUCCCUUCAUUUUUAAAAAAAUAAUCUAAUUUGAAUUGAUACGAACUUAAAAAAAAAAAAAAAACUUUUAAAUUUUAUGAUCUUAAAUUAAAGAUAUGUCAAAUAUAUCAAAAUAUUUUCAAUCUUGUAAUCUUAAACAUGCCAUAUGAAAAGUUAAAAUUUAAAAAUUAAUAAAAAAAAUCAUUCUUUUUUAAACGGA